GAAUACAGGUGCUGCAUGGCUGUCGUCAGCUCGUGUCGUGAGAUGUUGGGUUAAGUCCCGCAACGAGCGCAACCCUUGUCCUUAGUUACCAGCGGGUUAAGCCGGGAACUCUAAGGAUACUGCCAGUGACAAACUGGAGGAAGGCGGGGACGACGUCAAGUCAUCAUGGCCCUUACGACCAGGGCUACACACGUGCUACAAUGGUAGGUACAGAGGGCAGCUACACAGCGAUGUGAUGCGAAUCUCAAAAAGCCUAUCGUAGUCCAGAUUGGAGUCUGCAACUCGACUCCAUGAAGUAGGAAUCGCUAGUAAUCGCGGAUCAGAAUGCCGCGGUGAAUACGUUCCCGGGCCUUGUACACACCGCCCGUCACACCAUGGGAGUUGAUUGCACCAGAAGUGGUAGCCUAACCGAAGGAGGGCGAUCACCACGGGGUUAUGACUGG
rnacentral:rRNA from 1 species